rnacentral:lncRNA from 1 species
GGAGAAGCCUCACGGAGAAAACCAAGUGUCAGCCGUUCGGAGUUAAAAUUCUAAAUUCAGUAAAGAAAAAAGCCAAAAUAUUAGACCCCUUAAUUCCAUUGAAAGCCAAACAAUCAAUUCAUAAAACAUUAACCCAAAGCCCCAGAGUGGAAAACUCUGAAGCAAAUCAAGUGAGAAAAAAUAUUUCAGGAGGGCAGCAGCAACCACCACCUCCGAUCCAAGUCUCAUGAAUUUUCAAAGAUAACAGAGAAAAUCUUUGCCAUCAAUCAGUAUUACGUUCACAUUAAAAGUACAAGAUGAUUCAUGUUCAUUCCUUCGAAUUACACUUCACAUGACAUCUCACUAUUUUUAUUUAUUUAUUUUUUUUUUCCCAUCUCCUCAAACUCCAAUGGGGCAACUGCACCCACCAGACCAUUUCGCUCGACUUGCCACAAUGCUACUGCACGAGGAACCAUCCACCUUAGUAUUUCCCAUCAUGUUUAACAAAA